GACGAGCGGCGGACGGGUGAGUAAUGCUUGGGAACAUGCCUUGAGGUGGGGGACAACAGUUGGAAACGACUGCUAAUACCGCAUAAUGUCUACGGACCAAAGGGGGCUUCGGCUCUCGCCUUUAGAUUGGCCCAAGUGGGAUUAGCUAGUUGGUGAGGUAAUGGCUCACCAAGGCGACGAUCCCUAGCUGGUUUGAGAGGAUGAUCAGCCACACUGGGACUGAGACACGGCCCAGACUCCUACGGGAGGCAGCAGUGGGGAAUAUUGCACAAUGGGCGCAAGCCUGAUGCAGCCAUGCCGCGUGUGUGAAGAAGGCCUUCGGGUUGUAAAGCACUUUCAGUCAGGAGGAAAGGUUAGUAGUUAAUACCUGCUAGCUGUGACGUUACUGACAGAAGAAGCACCGGCUAACUCCGUGCCAGCAGCCGCGGUAAUACGGAGGGUGCGAGCGUUAAUCGGAAUUACUGGGCGUAAAGCGUACGCAGGCGGUUUGUUAAGCGAGAUGUGAAAGCCCCGGGCUCAACCUGGGAACUGCAUUUCGAACUGGCAAACUAGAGUGUGAUAGAGGGUGGUAGAAUUUCAGGUGUAGCGGUGAAAUGCGUAGAGAUCUGAAGGAAGACCGAUGGCGAAGGCAGCCACCUGGGUCAACACUGACGCUCAUGUACGAAAGCGUGGGGAGCAAACGGGAUUAGAUACCCCGGUA
rnacentral:rRNA from 1 species